UCCCAAACCCAAUGUGAACCAUACCAAACUGUUGCCUCGGCGGGGUCACGCCCCGGGUGCGUCGCAGCCCCGGAACCAGGCGCCCGCCGGAGGGACCAACCAAACUCUUUCUGUAGUCCCCUCGCGGACGUUAUUUCUUACAGCUCUGAGCAAAAAUUCAAAAUGAAUCAAAACUUUCAACAACGGAUCUCUUGGUUCUGGCAUCGAUGAAGAACGCAGCGAAAUGCGAUAAGUAAUGUGAAUUGCAGAAUUCAGUGAAUCAUCGAAUCUUUGAACGCACAUUGCGCCCGCCAGUAUUCUGGCGGGCAUGCCUGUCCGAGCGUCAUUUCAACCCUCGAACCCCUCCGGGGGUCCGGCGUUGGGGAUCGGGAACCCCUAAGACGGGAUCCCGGCCCCGAAAUACAGUGGCGGUCUCGCCGCAGCCUCUCAUGCGCAGUAGUUUGCACAACUCGCACCGGGAGCGCGGCGCGUCCACGUCCGUAAAACACCCAACUUCUGAAAUGU
rnacentral:rRNA from 1 species